AUACUUAGGGUGCAAGCGUUAAUCGGAAUUACUGGGCGUAAAGCGCUCGUAGGCGGCUUGUUAAGUCGGAUGUGAAAUCCCCGGGCUCAACCUGGGAACUGCAUUCGAUACUGGCAGGCUAGAGUAUAGUAGAGGCAAGUGGAAUUCCGGGUGUAGCGGUGAAAUGCGUAGAUAUCCGGAGGAACAUCAGUGGCGAAGGCGACUUGCUGGACUAAUACUGACGCUGAGGAGCGAAAGCGUGGGGAGCAAACAGGAUUAGAAACCCGAGUAGUCC
rnacentral:rRNA from 1 species